GCCAUGCAGCUGAUGAGAUACGAGUUUAUAGGUAAUUUGUCUCUGAGGAAAUUGUAUGAUUUCAUUCUCUUUUUCACCUUGGAGAUCUGACGCCUCCC